rnacentral:sRNA from 1 species
GUUGGCCUCAAGCGCCUGAAGCGGACGCGCCGGAAAUGCCAGUCCCGAUUCCUGGGUGACCACGGAUGUACUGGCACUGAAAGAAUCGGGAAUCAGAAAGGUCGGGCCAGCCCGACCUUUUUUGUG